rnacentral:rRNA from 1 species
GACGAACCGUGCAAACGUUGCUCGGAAUCACUGGGCGUAAAGGGCGUGUAGGCGGGAAGGAAAGUCAGAUGUGAAAUCCCUGGGCUCAACCCAGGAACUGCAUUUGAAACUCCCUUUCUUGAGUGUCGGAGAGGAAAGCGGAAUUCCUGGUGUAGAGGUGAAAUUCGUAGAUAUCAGGAGGAACACCGGUGGCGAAGGCGGCUUUCUGGACGACAACUGACGCUGAGACGCGAAAGCGUGGGGAGCAAACAGG